rnacentral:rRNA from 1 species
AUUGAACGCUGGCGGCAUGCCUUACACAUGCAAGUCGAACGGUAACAGGUCUUCGGAUGCUGACGAGUGGCGAACGGGUGAGUAAUGCAUCGGAACGUGCCCAGUAGUGGGGGAUAGCCCGGCGAAAGCCGGAUUAAUACCGCAUACGACCUGAGGGUGAAAGGGGGGGAUCGCAAGACCUUUCGCUAUUGGAGCGGCCGAUGUCAGAUUAGCUAGUUGGUGGGGUAAAGGCCUACCAAGGCAACGAUCUGUAGUUGGUCUGAGAGGACGACCAGCCACACUGGGACUGAGACACGGCCCAGACUCCUACGGGAGGCAGCAGUGGGGAAUUUUGGACAAUGGGCGCAAGCCUGAUCCAGCAAUGCCGCGUGCAGGAAGAAGGCCUUCGGGUUGUAAACUGCUUUUGUCAGGGAAGAAAUCUUCUGGGUUAAUACCUCGGGAGGAUGACGGUACCUGAAGAAUAAGCACCGGCUAACUACGUGCCAGCAGCCGCGGUAAUACGUAGGGUGCGAGCGUUAAUCGGAAUUACUGGGCGUAAAGCGUGCGCAGGCGGCUUUGCAAGACAGAGGUGAAAUCCCCGGGCUCAACCUGGGAACUGCCUUUGUGACUGCAAGGCUAGAGUACGGCAGAGGGGGAUGGAAUUCCGCGUGUAGCAGUGAAAUGCGUAGAUAUGCGGAGGAACACCAAUGGCGAAGGCAAUCCCCUGGGCCUGUACUGACGCUCAUGCACGAAAGCGUGGGGAGCAAAC